rnacentral:rRNA from 1 species
UACGUAGGGUGCAAGCGUUGUCCGGAAUUAUUGGGCGUAAAGAGCUCGUAGGCGGUCUGUCACGUCGGCUGUGAAAACCUGGGGCUCAACUCCGGGCCUGCAGCCGAUACGGGCAGACUAGAGUUCGGCAGGGGAGACUGGAAUUCCUGGUGUAGCGGUGAAAUGCGCAGAUAUCGGGAGGAACACCGGUGGCGAAGGCGGUUCUCUGGGCCUUACCUGACGCUGAGGAGCGAAAGCGUGGGGAGCGAACAGG